rnacentral:rRNA from 1 species
AAAUUGAAGAGUUUGAUCAUGGCUCAGAUUGAACGCUGGCGGCAGGCCUAACACAUGCAAGUCGAACGGUAACAGAAAGCAGCUUGCUGCUUUGCUGACGAGUGGCGG